GCAUAGGUGGUUCAGUGGCAGAAUUCUAGCCUUCUAUGUGGAAGGCGUGGGUUCAAUUCCCACAUGUGCA
rnacentral:tRNA from 1 species